rnacentral:SRP_RNA from 1 species
GGUCUUACGCAACAGGACUUGUGAACCGUGUCAGGUCGGGAACGAAGCAGCACUAAGCAACCCUCCUGUGUGCCGUAAGCGAGCCGG